rnacentral:rRNA from 1 species
CAGCCGCCGCGGUAAUACCGGCGGCCCGAGUGGCGGUCACUAUUAUUGGGCUUAAAACGUCCGUAGCCGGGUUGGGAAGUCCUCCGGGAAAUCUGGCCGCUUAACGGUCAGAAUGCCGGAGGAUACUCCCAGCCUAGGGAGCGGGAGAGGCCGAGGGUAUUCCCGGGGUAGGGGUGAAAUCCUAUAAUCCCGGGAGGACCACCUGUGGCGAAGGCGCUCGGCUGGAACGCGUCCGACGGUGAGGGACGAAGGCCAGGGGAGCAAACCGGAUUAGAUACCCGGGUAGUCCUGGCUGUAAACGAUGCGGACUUUGUGUCGGACAAGCUAUGAGCUUGUCCGGUGCCGGAGGGAAACCGUUAAGUCCGCCGCCUGGGGAGUACGGCCGCAAGGUUGAAACUUAAAGGAAUUGGCGGG